ACAAAUUCCAGAAUGCACAAACUCCUUCUAAAAUGGCUCUAGCUCCCAUAAUAAUCAAAUUUUCAGUAUUCUGACACCAACACUCCAAGAAGGGACCCAUCCCAUGAAGGCGACUCAUGACCAGAUUCUGUCAGUGGGUACAAGCAAUGUUUGGAGAUGAUACCUCAGAUCCACAGUACAAUGAAGAAUCCUCUGGAAAUUCUUCUCCAGGAUACAUUAAAGCUAAUUAAUCCCAGUCGCCUAACCUGCCUGUAUGAUCUCCUGCGCCACUGCGACUACUAGAUCAUCUCUCAUUGGCUGAAGCACACAUGGCCUAGUUCAGUUAUUCAGAAAUCCAGCUGAGGGGAGAUGUGAAGAAGAAAUGGAGUGAUGCAAACAGAGAAGUCAUUGGGAAUAUAUAUGUGAAUACCAUUCUUUCUUUUUCUCAGCUUAAAUACAGUCUCUUUAGCCUCUAAGAAUACCAUAACAUUUUAAAAUAUACUGUAUCUACAUAGUA